rnacentral:rRNA from 1 species
UACGGAGGGUGCGAGCGUUAUUCGGAAUUACUGGGCGUAAAGCGCGUGUAGGCGGGGAAGCAAGUCUGAUGUGAAAGCGCCGGGCUUAACCUGGGAAGUGCAUUGGAAACUGUUUUUCUUGAGUACUGGAGAGGAAGGGAGAAGUCCCGGUGUAGAGGUGAAAUUCGUAGAGAUCGGGAGGAACACCAGUGGCGAAGGCGCCCUUCUGGACGGUUACUGACGCUGAGACGCGAGAGCGUGGGGAGCAAACAGG